rnacentral:rRNA from 1 species
UACGGGGGGGGCAAACGUUAUCCGGAGUUACUGGGCGUAAAGGGCGUGCAGGUGGUCUGUUAAGUCUGGCGUGAAAGCUCUCGGCUAAACCGGGAGAGGUCGUUGGAUACUGGCGGACUAGAGGACGGUAGAGGCGUGUGGAAUUCCGGGUGUAGUGGUGAAAUGCGUAGAGAUCCGGAGGAACACCAGUGGCGAAGGCGACACGCUGGGCCGUACCUGACACUAAAACGCGACAGCAUGGGGAGCGAACGGG